UCAUGUGAGGGUGAUCUCACUUCAACAUCUGCCACCCACUGAUCACCAGGGUUGAUUCAGCUGAUGUCUGGCUAUGCGGGUGUCCCCUUUCUCCACUGUUCCACGUGUAGCCCUCCUCAAGUUGAAAACUUGGUUGAAGAGUAUGACCUUCCCUGAUAGGAAAGGACCAUUCUUUAAUAAAGGUGUGCAAGUAGCUCUGCAAGCUCUCAAGGUAAAGGUGUCUCCUGCACUGCCAGUCUUAUAGUCAAUCACUGCAAAUAGCAAGAAGCCUAAUU
rnacentral:snRNA from 10 species